rnacentral:rRNA from 1 species
AACAUUUCAAAAGCUUGCUUUUGGAGAUGACGAGCGGCGGACGGGUGAGUAAUGCCUGGGAAAUUGCCCUGAUGUGGGGGAUAACCAUUGGAAACGAUGGCUAAUACCGCAUAGUAGCUUCGGCUUAAAGAGGGGGACCUUCGGGCCUCUCGCGUCAGGAUAUGCCCAGGUGGGAUUAGCUAGUUGGUGAGGUAAAGGCUCACCAAGGCGACGAUCCCUAGCUGGUCUGAGAGGAUGAUCAGCCACACUGGAACUGAGACACGGUCCAGACUCCUACGGGAGGCAGCAGUGGGGAAUAUUGCACAAUGGGCGCAAGCCUGAUGCAGCCAUGCCGCGUGURUGAAGAAGGCCUUCGGGUUGUAAAGYACUUUCAGUCGUGAGGAAGGGUGUGUAUUUAAUAGAUGCGCACUUUGACGUUAGCGACAGAAGAAGCACCGGCUAACUCCGUG